GUACUGUAUUCAUCUAAGCAUGGUUUAAUGUCAUUGAAAGGGUUUAGUCCCUCUAAUUCUGCAUUUUUUCCUUUUCAAGCUCUCUUUCGGUCAUGGGCACAGAGCAUUAUCUUUUCCUGGGAUCAGUCUCCUAUGCUUAAUUUCCCCACAGCCUGGGAAAAGGCAGCACAUUGAGGUGUUGACAUUCCCAACAUCAGGCAGAAGUUUGAUUAUAAUGUGGGCGAACGCUUUCCCACGUCCCUACCCCAGCGCCGCAAUGCCGAGCCCCAUUGUGUCACACACUCCCCAGUCCACCUGCUCCUUUGGGAGCAGGGUAUUAUCCCCAGGCAAUUCACAGUCAAUUUGCCAUGCUGUAAUAGAUGCUUUCCCUAUUGUCCCGGGGCACACAUGGAUUGGCUACCGACUGUGGGAAACUCAGAGUCGCUUAGGACCCAUACAUUUGUAUGCAGCCACUGUGUAUAAAUACAGCGACUCCUGCUCCCUUCUCCACUCGCUAACCAGCAAGUGCCGAGCUGAAACCAGCACUUGGGUUAAUGGCACCCAGUGCCUGGAAAUCCCAACACUCAAAGAGAAGAAUAGACUCAGGAAACCCAUUGCAGAGAAACUGUCAUGAUCGGAAUAACCGCAGCAUUGAGUAGCUGAAACUGCUCCUGGGGAAGGAGUUUCAGAGACACCAGCCCAACUCCAAGCUGGAGGAGUCAACAACCUGGAGAUGUCAGCUACCGAAAUAUAGCCGAGGUGAGUACAUCACACUUGCUGCCCUUACUUUUAGACAAACCCUCAGCCCGAGUCUCCCUGUGUAACACUUCUCUCCUUCUCUGCCCUUUCAGCUUUUGCAGCAUCUGCCAAAAGCCUACAGCAGGAUAUUUGUGAAGGGGAUGCCUGUUGCCUGAGAAGGAGCUCUGCAAUUCCUGAAUCUCCACGCAGCAAACAUUGAAACCCGGCUGAAGCUGAUCUGCUGUUUCCAGAGGUCACAAGUGGUGCCUAAGGACUCUGGUGCUUCUUCUGCACCUGCUUCCAGCAGCACCGAAACCCUCCUGCAGCCUCGGGAGGCCUUGGUAGACCAAGAGUACCUGUAUGUGCUUCCUGGACAUUUGCUCGUAUUCCAGAGGAGAUCGUGACUUGCUGUACAAGUCCCCCCACUCCUCUCAUGAGUAGGAAGAAUGUUUUCCUUUAGCAGAGCGUUACUAUGCUCGGAUGUCUGCUUCCCUUCUUCCAGAAGGACUGAAAUGAUCCCACCAUGUGGAGAGAAAGUUAUUCUAAAAGAAUGUGAGCUGUAAUCCUCCUGCGAGGAUGGCUGAGGAGUUGUUCAGAGAGGAACACCGACUGUUCUUAACCUUAGUGAGGUUGUACGUGUAGAUCUGUUGAGAAAGCAGUAACUUCUAAGAUGUUCAGGCUAGCUUUUUCAAAAGUGUCCAUUCAGGAGGAGCCUAUUCCUCUGACCUGCUCCACUUGAGACUCCCAUAUCCCAGGCUACUGCGCCGCCUGGUUGUGGGGACCCAAGGUGGCUCAAGCAGAGCAGCAGGUCUAACUGGACACCUUUGAAAACCUAGCUUCCCUACGGGGGCCAUAAUGGGCUCUACAAUAUUUGUAGACUGUACUGAGCAUGCUCUGGAAAGGGUUAAACCAUAACUCAAACUAUGUAGAGGAAAUUCCUCAGGAUGUCUUGCUCACAGAGUCAGAGUACUGCUUGUGAGAUGCAGGAUAUGUGCGCCUUUUAUAAAGGCAAAAGCUCAUUUAUAUCCUUGUAGGAAAGAAAGUUAUGGCUGUGUUGUCGAUUUUACAAGAUAUGUUUAUCAAAGUCUUUCAUUAAAGGCAGGUGUACAAAUUGUAUUUACUCUGUGGUACCCUACCCCCAGGGGAGAAUAUGAAUCAUUACUGUCCUUGGAGGAUGCUGUGACAUGUUAUGUGUGAGCUGCACCAAGUGUAUAUAACCUGUGCCAGGAACUACCUUGGAUUUCAGAAACUGCAGAAACUUUUACCAGUACAAAAAUAAAUAAAAAUCUAGUUAACAAAUACAGCAAGUUAUUAUUUCUUGAGUAGUUCACAUAGCUGAUUUCCCUGGGGUCCCUGGGUUAAAGGGCACGAGACAAAGACUUCAGUAAUAGCAAGGAUAUUCCAAGUUGGUAUUUCAUUGCCUCGCCAGUUUCGCGUCCACUUGGAACCCCUGCAAUGCUGCUUUUCACAGCAAUACCAAACCUUCACUGUCCCCAUGUGAGACAAAGCCAGAGGUGUGCCUUAGCCACAAGUUAUUUGGAAAUUUAGAGCCAAGAGACUUGGCAGCAGAGGUCACCAUGAGGGUGAACUCUGAAUUGAUGCUGACUCCCAAAUAUAGGAAGUAGUUUUGAUUAAUGAAGUUUGCCAAGGCCCUUAGAAUCAUGGAAUCCCAGACUGGUUUGGGUUGGAAAGGCCUUAAAGCUCAUUCAGUUCCAACCCCCUGCCACGCGCAGGGACACCUUCCACCAGAGCAGGUUGCUCCAAGCCCCUGUGUCCAACCUGGCCUUGAACACUGCCAGGGAUGGGGCAGCCACAGCUUCUCUGGGCACCCUGUGCCAGCGCCUCAGCACCCUCACAGGGAAGAGCUUCUGCCUCAGAGCUCAUCUCAGUCUCCCCUCUGGCAGGUUAAAGCCAUUCCCCUUGGCCUGACCCUAGAUGGUCUUAUAAAAAGUACCUCUCCAGGUUUCCUGUAGCCCCUUUAGGCACUGGAGCUGCUCUAAGGUCUAAGUCGUCUCUUCUCCAGGCUGCCCCAGCCCAGCUCUCUCAGCCUGGCUCCAGAGCAGAGCUGCUCCAGCCCUCGCAGCAGCUCCGUGACCUCCUCUGCACUUGCUCCAGCGGCUCCACGUCCCUCUUGUGUCGUGUUCAUGUUACAUUUCGUGUUCCUGUGGCGUGCAUCAAGUUUCUAAACCCCGUGAAACGCCGGGGAACCCAGCUCUACGGGUUUGCCCCGCGGGGACACACGUUCGAGGGCUCUGCUGCAGGGGUGCGUGAGGCGGGAGCCAGCGCAGCGCAUGUCACAGCGGCGGGUGCGGGGGUAUGAGGCAGCCCCAGCGGGUGUGGCAGGCCCUGAGCUGCCCGGUGGGGCGCGAUACUGUCCAAGCCCCGGACGGUGGGUGCCCACGGGCCGCGCCGGUACCCUCCUGCCGCCGCUCUGGAUCCGCUCUUCCCUCGGGCACACCCCGGCCCCGCUCCCUGCGCGCCACCGCCUCUCACCGCCCAUCGCUGUGGUAACGCCUCGCGCCGGUGGGCGGGGCC
ensembl:lncRNA